rnacentral:rRNA from 1 species
AUACGUAGGUGGCGAGCGUUAUCCGGAAUUACUGGGUUUAAAGGGAGCGCAGGCGGAGAUGCAAGCGUGACGUCAAAUUUCGGGGCUCAACCCCGUCUCGCGUCGCGAACUGCGUCCCUUGGUUGCGGGAAGGGGAGGCGGAACUCGUGGUGUAGCGGUGAUAUGCAUAGAUAUCACGAAGAAAUCCGAUCGCGAAGGCAGCCUUCCGGCCCGUCAACGACGCUCAUGCUCGAAGGUGCGGGUAUCAAACAGGAUUAGAUACCCUGGUAGUCCGCACAGUAAACGAUGGACACCCGCGGUUUGGCCUGUAUGGCUGAGCCGCCAAGCGAAAGCGUUAAGUGUCCCACCUGGGGAGUACGCCGGCAACGGUGAAACUCAAAGGAAUUGACGGGG